rnacentral:rRNA from 1 species
CUUGGUCAUUUAGAGGAAGUAAAAGUCGUAACAAGGUUUCCGUAGGUGAACCUGCGGAAGGAUCAUUAUUGAAAUAAACUGACAGGUUGUUGCUGGUUCUCUAGGGAACAUGUGCACGCCUUGUCAUCUUUAUAUCUCCACCUGUGCACCUUUUGUAGACCUGGAUAUCUCUCUGAGUGCUUGCGCUCAGGUUUGAGGAUUGAUUCUUUUGUCUCUCCUUACAUUUCCAGGCCUAUGUUUCUUCAUAUACCCUAAUGUAUGUUAUAGAAUGUAAUAAAUGGGCCAUUUGUGCCUAUAAACAUAUACAACUUUCAGCAACGGAUCUCUUGGCUCUCGCAUCGAUGAAGAACGCAGCGAAAUGCGAUAAGUAAUGUGAAUUGCAGAAUUCAGUGAAUCAUCGAAUCUUUGAACGCACCUUGCGCUCCUUGGUAUUCCGAGGAGCAUGCCUGUUUGAGUGUCAUUAAUAUAAUCAACCUCUUCAGCUUUUGCUUGUUGAGUGUUGGAUGUGGGGGUAACUUUUUGCUGGCCUCUCUGAGGUCAGCUCCCCUGAAAUGUAUUAGCGGAAUAAUUUGUGGACCGUUCAUUGGUGUGAUAACUAUCUACGCUAUUGACGUGAAGCAAUUCUGCUUCUAACAGUCCAUUGACUUGGACAAAUUUCAUUAACUUGACCUCAAAUCAGGUAGGACUACCCGCUGAACUUAAGCAUAUCAAUAA